CCUACGGGAGGCAACAGUAGGGAAUUUUCCACAAUGGGCGAAAGCCUGAUGGAGCAACGCCGCGUGGGUGAAGAAGGUCUUCGGAUCGUAAAACCCUGUUGUUAGAGAAGAAAGUGCGUGAGAGUAACUGUUCACGUUUCGACGGUAUCUAACCAGAAAGCCACGGCUAACUACGUGCCAGCAGCCGCGGUAAUCCGUAGGUGGCAAGCGUUAUCCGGAUUUAUUGGGCGUAAAGGGAACGCAGGCGGGCCUUUAAGUUUGAUGGGAAAGCCUUCGGCUUAACCGGAGUAGUGCAUUGGAAACUGGGAGACUGGAGUGCAGAAGAGGAGAGUGGAACUCCAGGUGUAGCGGUGAAAUGCGUAGAUAUAUGGAAGAACACCAGUGGCGAAAGCGGCUCUCUGGUCUGUAACGGACGCUGAGGUUCGAAAGCGUGGGUAGCAAACAGGAUUAGAUACCCUUGUAGUC
rnacentral:rRNA from 1 species